CGACGUCUUAUUAACACUCGUUCAUUUCCCGCUCUAAUUUAGCAUCGCUAGGGACGCCAGGACCUGACAAGCCAAGUUCUUUUCAACUUCGGAAUCCAGAAACCCGUAAUAUCUCAACAAUUAUGGAGCCUAAAGCUACGGAAACUGAAGCCGGAGUUUCCACCCAGGAAACGAGUGUUUCAGUUCCUGAAACCGCUGAAACCUUUGACUUUACCAAAUUCAGCGUGCAGAAGGUGUUGAACGAGGAUUGCCGCUCGAAGGUGAUCUUCCUUCAAGGAAAAUUUGAGGAGAAGGAGGGUGAUACAGUCGUCAUCCUAGAGAAGCAAGUCUUCAAUAGCGAGAAGAUACAAGGGAUCUUCACCGCAUGCACUGCAGCGAAGACAAAGGAAAAUGACAUCUACUACAAAUUCGUAGGGCAGCCAAACAACGAGGACUUUACAGGCGUGAAAAUCGACGUGGUUCACCCAGCAACUACCAAGCACAUUGAGAAGUACCUCAAGAAAAAAAUCUUCCUAGUAGAAGAAACUCCAGAAUUGUACCGCAACGUGGUGCUUCCAUAUCUGAAAGAGUGUGGAUUCAGUCUGCAGUGGGUUUACAACAUUCUUGAACGCAAAGCUGAAGUGGAAAAGAUCGAGUUUGAGGAUGUUGACCCAAAGAUUGGCUUCACGCUUGUCCAUGAUGACAAGUGGGACGGCGUGACUGUGGACAAUCUCCACCUGCUUGCAAUUUCCAGGGACAGGGAAAUCAGGAGCCUGAGAGACCUAAGGGGUGCACACAUUGCCCUUCUUGAGAAUAUUCAGCAGAACGCAUCGGAGACCAUUGAGAAGAAGUUCAACCUGCCACGGAAUAGACAGGUAGCCUACUUCCAUUACAGGCCAUCCUUUGAGCAUCUGCACGUUCACAUCAAAGUGAUUGAAUUCGAAGCUCCUGGUACGCACGUGGGAAGGGCCCACCUGUUGAGUGAUGUCAUCGCCAACCUCAAAGCGUCUUCGGACUACUACGCCAAGUCCACCCUUGGCUACACCCUGUCAGAAGCCAGCUCCUUGGCUUCUGCACUCAAUUUGUGUUGAAGUUCGACCCAGGUUGGCUGUGUGCCAAGUCCACAUUAGUGGACGCCAACUACCGAGACUUGAAGUCCUGGUAGUUGGCUCAGAGCAAAUUCGCGUCAUCUUCGGAGAUGAUCAGGCUGUGGAUUUGUUUAUUGACAGUGCCAAUUUUAUCAAAAGUGGGACAAUUGGGACUGUUGUCAACUGGACUCCAACCCAUGUUGAGGUUCGGUUGCGGACAGCUUCAGCUUACAUUAAGCAGGAGUUAACCGCUUUCAAAACUGCAAGAGCACCUCUUGCAUUGAAUGCAGGGGUGAAGUACGAUUUGCAGUGCAGAUCGUGCCUUGCAGUGGUUGCUCAGGGUCUUUGCUUUGGCCGGAUCCUUGAGAAGCCUCAGGAGAAUGACGUGUCGUUUUUCUGCCAUGGGCAUAGCAGGCUUCAACCGAAGCCCCGUGCUGAUGACUUACUCCAUGACGUGUCAAUAUUUGACAUACACGGAGUGAGCAACGUGUGCAUAUCAUGCGCGCAACAACUGGGCUCAGCUUACCAGGAUAGAACUUCUAUUUGGAAAUUUGCAGUUAUUUGGAGAGACAUCAACUUGACUCCCUCGGACACUCUUGAUUUAUCCGCAGCUGCACUGGCCAAUUUUUCGUCAAUUUUGGUGGAUGCAUGCAGCGGUCUGCCAAUGUGCAGUGUCAUUCUGAUUUCAAUCAACGACGGUUCACAACCUCCGGUUCCACUGAAACUCUUUUCUGCACCCCUCUUCGUGUCUACCACUGAAUAUCCUGCAGCGUUGCCUCCACCGAGGGCAGCCUUGGGAGUUUUAAUGGAGGAUCAGCUGGACAAGCAAGCUGUCAGUUUGCCAAUGCCCCAGGUGGUUCUACUUCGAGGCUUGGAAGAACUGAAGCGUAAUGCAGCCUUUCUAAAUUCGCCCUGCCUCACUUUUGUUUACAUCUGAGCUGGGCAAGUACAGCCCUGUUUUAUUUAUUUGUCUAAGGAGAAUUUAAACAAUUAAAUUUAAUUUGGGUCUCAA